AAAAAGGGCUUCUGUCGUGAGUGACACAGGGAGGGAAUACUAAUGUUAUUCUCUUCUUGCGGAAUCGACAUCAAGAGAUUUCGGAAGCAUAAUUUUUGCAAUUCGGGGCUGCUGAUGAUCUUAUCUCUUGGCGCCCUA